rnacentral:rRNA from 1 species
GAGGGGCAGCAUGGUCUUAGCUUGCUAAGGCUGAUGGCGACCGGCGCACGGGUGAGUAACACGUAUCCAACCUGCCGUCUACUCUUGGCCAGCCUUCUGAAAGGAAGAUUAAUCCAGGAUGGCAUCAUGAGUUCACAUGUCCGCAUGAUUAAAGGUGUUUUCCGGUAGACGAUGGGGAUGCGUUCCAUUAGAUAGUAGGCGGGGUAACGGCCCACCUAGUCAACGAUGGAUAGGGGUUCUGAGAGGAAGGUCCCCCACAUUGGAACUGAGACACGGUCCAAACUCCUACGGGAGGCAGCAGUGAGGAAUAUUGGUCAAUGGGCGAUGGCCUGAACCAGCCAAGUAGCGUGAAGGAUGACUGCCCUAUGGGUUGUAAACUUCUUUUAUAAAGGAAUAAAGUCGGGUAUGCAUACCCGUUUGCAUGUACUUUAUGAAUAAGGAUCGGCUAACUCCGUGCCAGCAGCCGCGGUAAUACGGAGGAUCCGAGCGUUAUCCGGAUUUAUUGGGUUUAAAGGGAGCGUAGAUGGAUGUUUAAGUCAGUUGUGAAAGUUUGCGGCUCAACCGUAAAAUUGCAGUUGAUACUGGAUGUCUUGAGUGCAGUUGAGGCAGGCGGAAUUCGUGGUGUAGCGGUGAAAUGCUUAGAUAUCACGAAGAACUCCGAUUGCGAAGG